CAAGAAGAGAUGAAUAACGAGAGUGAGGCCUGAUUUAGACACGAAUUACUAGGAAAUUUUUUGGACAAGAAAAAUACUUGAAAGAAAGACAACACUUACAACAUCUCUGGCACGGCUCAGUUUCCAGCUAUCCUGAGAGCCCCUUCUGAGUGCUCUCGCUGGAGGAGUGCCCGCUCUGUAGCAGGAAGGCUUUCCACUCCUGUGCUGUGCUGGCAACAUGCAGUGUCAAAUGUUACAUGCAGGGAUUGGAAGCCGUGUUUCCAGGAUCACGUAUAGGUACAGGGUUCUCAGGCAACCACACCCUGCACCAGCUCUUCGGAUCUUUGGCAGAUUCUCCCUAGAGGCAGUGGUCCUUGAAGAAAGAAAUGUGUGAACAAGUGGAGUUUGCUCUGUGCCUUGGGUGGAGCCCAUUCUUGAGCAGAGUUGCAUCUUGGGAACUAGGCAUUGUUGUUGGGCUGAGAUUCCAGAAAGAAGAGAUUGCCCUGCAUGCUGUUGGCAACCACCUCUGUUCUAGGACUGGUGUAUAUAUAAAUAAAACACGUUACUGCCCAUUACUGAUUUCUCCUCCGCUCGGAAGCUGACCUGCAAAGCCCUGGAAUUCUGUUACUGCUCAGUAGACAAGUUGCGCUGGUGAUGGAAGAAGGGUCAGCAUUACCAAAACUACAUAUCUAGUCAUUUUGGGCCCAAUUCAAAUCCCACUGAAGUCAAUAGGAAUGUUUCCAUUAACUUCAAUGGGCUUUGGAUCACAGCCUUUAUACUGUACUUAUCAACAUUGUAUC